AGGUGCUAAACAAAUGCAAGAAAAGAAAGCAUCGCUGUUCCAAGUUGCUUACUAUGCAAAAGAAAAUCAAGAGAUUUCUUUGAAGAAAAGGCUACAGAAUUUAAAGCAGUUCCAACUUGAUAUGAUGUGCACACAAUUGAAAAAGCAGACGGAAAAGGCUCUCCACCCUGAGAGGCCAGUGGUGAGCAGUCCAGUGAGAGCU